CUGUGGCCUUGCUUGAAUUAAUUUUAAUAUAAUGAGAGGUAUAAAUCAAAAUUCAUUUCAUUAUUUUUUGCAAGAUGGCUAUCCAGGUGUUUCAACAUUCUCUAUUGAAAAUAUGUCUUACUUUGUCUUUCUUGAAACCCUUGCCUUCCUUUAUGUACUCUCUACUUACAUGAUUUUGCCUUUUCCCAUGAGUUUAAAUGAAGUCUAAAUACUGAUGACAUCUAAAUAUAUAUGUGCAUUUGAGUACUUUCCCCUGGAUUUCCUGAUAAAUCAAUUCAACUGUCUAUUUGUCAUUGUCCAUCAAACAUUUCAAAGACAUCUUAAAUUUAACACAGCCAAAAAGAGUCUUAAUUUCCCCAAUUCUAGAACUAUUUCAUUCAUAUGAUCUUUCCUCAUUUCCACAAGCAUUAUCAAUAUGCUCUAAGAAAGCUAGGAACUAUGCUGAAUUCAGUUCUUUACUUCAGCUAAUAACAGCAAAUCUUCAAAUUCUUUCUCCCAAAUCAUCUGAAAUCCAACUACAUUUUAAGUUCAGCUAUCUCUUCAAUACCCAUUCACAACUGCCAUUCACCUGGACUCCUGCUGCAGCCCACCUACUAGGUCUUCUUCACAUAAACCCAUCUCCAAUCCGUUCUUUUCAAAGCAGCAAAAGCGGUAAUUUAAAACAUUAUAUAACUCCCCUGCUUAAAAUUCUUCCAUAACUUUUACUCAAUGAACUAAAUAAACAUGUAUUAAGCAUUUAUUCUAUGUCAAGCAUUGUUCAAGGAACUGAGGAUAUAAUGGUAAUUACAAAAAUACAUGGUCUCUAACUUCAUUAAAUGUACAUGCAUCCAAUAUUCAAACACACACACACACACCCUAUAAGAUGUUAACUCUGACAAAUAUAUAGAAGGGUGAUAAACAAUGUAAUGAAUGCUUUCAAAUAGGAAUUUUAUAUGCAAGCAAGACUCUUUGGGAUACUGAUUAUUUAGCACAAAUUAUCUAAAAAAAAAACAGAGACUUAGGCAGAAAACUAUUCAUGUAAAUAUGCAGAUUUACAAUAUGCUACAGUAUGGCAAGGAUACAAAGAUGGAAGGAUAAAUGACAAGGACAGAAAGCAAAGAGAACAAGAUGAACUUUGAGGAAAAAAAAAGAAGGAACCAAACCCACAGGCCUUGCUAAGUAGUAUUUUUCUCUUCCUUAAAAUAACACAGAACAAUCUGAGAAAGAGCACUGUGGCUACAGUGUAGAGAGUAUAUUGAGAAGAAAACAGAACUCUAGAGUUUGGGCAAUGAUCUAGAAAAAGUGGAAUGGUAGAUCUUUCUUGCUUCAAAACCCAAACCCAUUCAGCCUGGAAUGAAUGCUUUCACUCCUACUUGUCAGGUCUCAGAUUAAAUACUUCCUCUUAAAAGGAAACCUUCCCUGACCACCAAGAAAAUAAAAAUUUUCUCACCCAGAUCCAUUAUUUUGUAUCACCUUGUUUGCUUCCUUCAAACAUUAAGCACUUUAACAUUUCAUGAUUAGUACUUCUUUAUUUAUUUCUAUCUAUAACCCUAGAAUGUUUGCACCAGGAGAGGGGGACUAUGCCUAUCUUUUUUCUUCCAGCUUGUAAAUUGCCAGUGCAUUCACCAGCAGCAGCUUUAUGGCUGUACUAAAAACAAUAUUGAUCAAAUGAAGUGAUAUCACUGUCUUCACAUGAUAUUAGCUUUCCUCUGCUCAUAAUAUAUGCCACUUAGCAUAAACAUGCUAGGUUAAACCUUUCAACAACUUCUCCACACCUACGUGUUAUGUCACGUGCUGGAUAAGGUGUUAGAGAUAGAAUAAUAACUUCCAAGACCAUAAGAUAUCUAUCAAUGGUUUAGAACAAUGGUUCUGGUUCCCGUUGUGGCACAGCAGAAAGGAAUCCGACUAGGAAUCAUGUGGUUGCAGGUUCAUCCCUGGCCUCACUCAGUGGAAUAAGGAUCUGGCAUUGCCAUGAGCUGUGGUGUAGAAUAGCUGAGAUCUAUUUCUACCAUCUGACUUUAAUUAUUUUGUAUUUUAUCUUAAAACUCACCUCCUUAUGUGAGAAAUGGAAAAUGAAACAUAUUAUAGAUUUGGCAUAAUUAAAUCCUUCCAUCAAUGAUGAGUAAUGGCUGUAUUCUCAGGCUGCUGGACUAGGGAUAUAGCAGUGAUUUAAAAUAGCCCUUAAAAGAAAUCUCUUGAUUUUUAGGUAUUAGCUUAAAUCUCAAGCUUAACAAAUCACAUGGUUCCUCUUUCUAAGCACAGGAUGGGAUCAGUUUUACAUAAGACUUGGUAUCAGAUAUACUGAUAAUCAGAUUGCAUGACUUUUAAACAAAUUCAGAUGUUAUAGACAUAAAAAAAUAUCAUAGAGCAUAUUAUGUUUCAACUCAAAAAUCUAAUGAAUAUAUAGAUAUUGAGCACACACUAGUAGAAAGGCCAGAUGGUAUAGGGAGCAGGUAUAUGGAUCAGGCACAUCCCAAUCCUGAAGUUGCUUAUGAUCUAAAGAUGAAAAUUUAACAUAAACACA
rnacentral:lncRNA from 1 species